rnacentral:snRNA from 1 species
GUGCUCACUUCAGCAUCACACAUACUAAAAUUAGAACAAUAUAGAGAAGAUUAGCAUGGCCCCUGUGCAAGGAUGACAUGCAAAUUCAGGUAGUGUUCCAUAUUUUU